ACAGACAGACAGACAGAGACCGAAAGGGAGAGACAGAGACAGGGGAAGUGAGUUGAAGCUGCCAUGUGGGGUGUAGGGUGUGGCUGUUGCCUUGUAGGGUUUAUACUGGCUUACCCCACUGUGUACACAGGGCCCUAUUAGCAGUCAUUUGGCCAAAAAUAAAGGAUCCCUAAUUAUAUUUUAGAAAUACAGUUUAAGGAGCUUGAGUUGAAAACAACUGUCUUGAGCUUCAGUGAGUUCGUCUCUGGAAACCAUCCAUGGAAGGAUAUUUGUAUCCCGAGAGGGUCUCAGGGGCAGAAAGCAGGGAAGAUUGUCUGCGUUUCAGGCAGUGGCCUCCUGGAAGGUUCCCCCCGCGUUUCUUUGUGACAGUGAUGACUGGUUUCUCAAGAGCUGGGGCCCAUCCAAUCCAGCACUGUGAGCGCCCCAUGGCCUCCAGGGUGUGUCUGUCUGUCUGU
rnacentral:misc_RNA from 1 species